rnacentral:tRNA from 1 species
GCCGGUGUGGCGGAACUGGCAGACGCGCUUGAUUCAAAAUCAAGUUCCCUUUGGGAGUGGAGGUUCGAGUCCUCUCACCGGUA